AAACCAGAUGAAGUUUAACAAAAGCAAAUGUGGGGUCCUGCAUCUGGGAAGGAAUAACCGCAAGUAUCAGUUCAGCUUGGAACAUGACCUGCUGGAGAGGAGCUCUGCAGAGACCUGAGAGUCCUGGUGGAUGACAGAUUGGCGAUGAGCCAGCAGUGUGCCCUGGUGUCCAAGAAGGACAAUGGGAUCCUGGGGUACAUUAAAAGGAUCGUGGCCAGCAGGUCAAGGGAGGUGAUCCUCCCCCUCUAUUCUGCCCUGGUCAGGCCUCACCUGCAGUACUGUAUCCAGUUCUGGGCUCCCCAGUACAAAAAAGACAGGGAUCUCCUGGAAAGAGUCCAGAGGAGGGCCACAAAGAUGAUAAAGGGCCUGGAGCAUCUUCCCUAUGAGGAAAGGUUGAGCAACCUGGGUCUGUUCAACCUUGAGAAAAAAAGACUCAGAGAAUUACGGCUCCUCAGUUGACAUAAAUACAUUACCUGUGAAUUUCCAAAUGGAAAGCGGAGAAUUACAAUUGGAUAGUCAACUCAAAAAUUUGAUCAUGUCUUUUUGCUAGACUUCUAUAAUACCUAUGUUAUCAAAGAAAAAUGUUUUGUGCCUCAUGAUCACAGUUUAUUCAUGUCAUCACUUUUUGGCAGCACAUACAUUUCUGAGCACAUACAUUUUUCAAGAAUGAUGCACAGGAAUAGUAAAAUUUAAUCAAAAAUAACUGAUGAACAGCUUGAGGACAAAGAAUUGCAGCGAUUUUGGUCAAACCAGAUUCAUACACUAGUUUCACAAAAAUAUGGUCAAAUAUCCC
ensembl:lncRNA